rnacentral:rRNA from 1 species
UACGAAGGGGGCUAGCGUUGCUCGGAAUUACUGGGCGUAAAGGGCGCGUAGGCGGCCAGUCUAGUCAGAGGUGAAAGCCCAGGGCUCAACCUUGGGACUGCCUUUGAUACUGACUGUCUUGAGUUCGGGAGAGGUGAGUGGAAUGCCGAGUGUAGAGGUGAAAUUCGUAGAUAUUCGGCGGAACACCAGUGGCGAAGGCGGCUCACUGGCCCGAUACUGACGCUGAGGCACGAAAGCGUGGGGAGCAAACAGG